rnacentral:rRNA from 1 species
UACGUAGGGGGCAAGCGUUGUCCGGAAUCAUUGGGCGUAAAGCGCGUGUAGGCGGUUCGGUAAGUCUGCUGUGAAAGUCCAGGGCUCAACCCUGGGAUGCCGGCGGAUACUGUCGGGCUAGAGUACGGAAGAGGCGAGUGGAAUUCCCGGUGUAGCGGUGAAAUGCGCAGAUAUCGGGAGGAACACCAAUUGCGAAGGCAGCUCGCUGGGACGUCACUGACGCUGAGACGCGAAAGCGUGGGGAGCAAACAGG